CACACCAACAACAAAAACCACCACCGCUGCGGAACCAACAACCACCACCACCACCAUAUUCAACCAACAAAACCCAUGGAAGUGUUGUUGUCUUCCUUCUCGCCGGCGUCGCAUGCCGUGUUCUCAAAUGUAAUGGUUACUCAUGUCAAAUUCGACCAUGAAACCUCUAGAUCUAGAGGUUUCAUGGUCGAAUUUGACCAUAUUAAACCAAAUUCAAGGUGGAAUUAAAAUCCAACAAAGGAAUUAGAAGAAUCUAAUGCUUUUUUUUUUGUUUAAACUGUAAUUUCUGUAUUAGUUUUAAAUAACUGAUUUUUGUUUAUGUACUAACGUUUUGUAUAGUAAAUUAAUACUAUUAAGUACUCGUAUCAUAUUUUUUUUUCUAA